rnacentral:rRNA from 1 species
CCACCUGACUCCAUGCCGAACUCAGAAGUGAAACGCCGUAGCGCCGAUGGUAGUGUGGGGUCUCCCCAUGCGAGAGUAGGGAACUGCCAGGC